rnacentral:rRNA from 1 species
UGAGGAAUAUUGGUCAAUGGGCGAGAGCCUGAACCAGCCAAGUAGCGUGAAGGAUGACUGCCCUAUGGGUUGUAAACUUCUUUUAUAAAGGAAUAAAGUCGGGUAUGGAUACCCGUUUGCAUGUACUUUAUGAAUAAGGAUCGGCUAACUCCGUGCCAGCAGCCGCGGUAAUACGGAGGAUCCGAGCGUUAUCCGGAUUUAUUGGGUUUAAAGGGAGCGUAGAUGGAUAUUUAAGUCAGUUGUGAAAGUUUGCGGCUCAACCGUAAAAUUGCAGUUGAUACUGGAUAUCUUGAGUGCAGUUGAGGCAGGCGGAAUUCGUGGUGUAGCGGUGAAAUGCUUAGAUAUCACGAAGAACUCCGAUUGCGAAGGCAGCUUGCUAAACUGCAACUGACAUUGAUGCUCGAAAGUGUGGGUAUCAAACAGGAUUAGAUACCCUGGUAGUCCACACGGUAAACGAUGAAUACUCGCUGUUUGCGAUAUACAGUAAGCGGCCAAGCGAAAGCGUUAAGUAUUCCACCUGGGGAGUACGCCGGCAACGGUGAAACUCAAAGGAAUUGACGGGGGCCCGCACAAGCGGAGGAACAUGUGGUUUAAUUCGAUGAUACGCGAGGAACCUUACCCGGGCUUGAAUUGCAACUGAAUGAUGUGGAGACAUGUCAGCCGCAAGGCAGUUGUGAAGGUGCUGCAUGGUUGUCGUCAGCUCGUGCCGUGAGGUGUCGGCUUAAGUGCCAUAACGAGCGCAACCCUUAUCGAUAGUUACCAUCAGGUUAUGCUGGGGACUCUGUCGAGACUGCCGUCGUAAGAUGUGAGGAAGGUGGGGAUGACGUCAAAUCAGCACGGCCCUUACGUCCGGGGCUACACACGUGUUACAAUGGGGGGUACAGAAGGCAGCUACACGGCGACGUGAUGCUAAUCCCGAAAGCCUCUCUCAGUUCGGACUGGAGUCUGCAACCCGACUCCACGAAGCUGGAUUCGCUAGUAAUCGCGCAUCAGCCACGGCGCGGUGAAUACGUUCCC